ACAUAUACUUCCUGUCCGGCAGCACCGGCUCUCACCCAAAGAACCGAUUCACGUUCCUCAGUUGCAAAGCAGUCAGGUCAUCUCUGCAAACCCUACCACAGAAAGCCCUCCCCAGGCCCACGGAACAGCAGAGGACCAAACAGAUUAACAGAGUCGUGGGAGAGACCAGAGCCAAACCCACGGAAGCCUGCAGAGGCUGGGAGAAGAGUGCGGCGCAUCUGAAUUCUGUAGCAGUCCGUACAGGGCCGGCCCUGAAGAAAGAUCUGGAAGAUGCAAAGGACAAAGCCUCCAGUCUUCCUAGCAACAAGAAGUGCGGCAAGGGCCAUGCGUUCCUCUUGAAAUCACGUUUCAUGAAGCAUAGAAGUGGCUUCUUCCAGCUCACUUGUCUCCACAGGCCUGUCUUGCCUCUCUCCUUGGGGGCUACCCCUCCGCCCUGUUCCAUGGCAACCUUGGUGGACUUCUGGCUGCUCUUGUACUACACCAAGCUCACUGCUGCUCCAGGGCCUUUGUACUGCAGUUUCUUCUUCUGAAAAUUAUCCCCCUUCAUUCUGUGAUGGUAUCAGGCAAGCCUCCAUAGCCAGAAAGUAGCUGGGGCAUACCGAAGUGCGCACCACACUUCCCAGCUAGAGCGGGGUCCAGAAAGAUCUUAAAAGAGAGUUUUCCUGACAGGAGUAAGAUUAUUCACUUCAGGAUUUUGUAUUUGGUCAGAGUCUAGUCUGUGUUCAUUAUGUAAGUUAAAACUCGCAGUGGGAUAGUAUGCAGCUGUGAAAAAGGAAGGGUGUGUUGUGAUGACCCUAAACAGGGAACAUGCUCGCAGCUGUACAGCUAGGAAACACAAACACAGGCUCUGACUUUAACAAAAACAAAAGCAAUAUAUGUAUGUAUCUGGGUUUGUUAGCACAUGACUGUAGUAUUUCUGUAAGAGUUUAUACACUGGUACCAGUGUCUGCCUCCAAGAAGGAGUGGCUGCCCAGAGCUGGGGUAAACGAGCAUUUCCCCUCAUGUGCCCUCUGAACACCCUGGCUUUCCAACACGGGAAUGAUAUUCGCCAUUCAAAACCCAAGGCUGCGGUAUUUUUAGAAUUUCGACCGUAUCUCUAAAUGGGCCGCGGUUGCGUACACAAACACAGCAGGCUGACGGCAUGUAAGAAGGCUCCUGUAUCCAUCACCAAGUCGUUCCCAGAGACCGGCAUAGACAAGAGGAUGCAGACACCUUCGUACACAGACUCUAUCCACGGUCCGUCUUGUGGCCUCCUCUCCCGUGGCCUGACAUUUGUGUACACUGGCAUUUCAGACACGCCAACCCGAGAGGUGUUUUCUUGUUUCUUUCUACAUUGAUCAAUAUUCCAGGAGCUGCAGAAAAUAGAACGUUCCUGGCGUCCUCUGUCCUGAGGGGCCCUGCCCCUGCUUUCCUCAGGGAGGAGAGAGGCCAAGUUCUCAGAGGAUAGAGCCGUCACAAGCCCACAUUUAGCCUCCCCUGGGGGACAGUGAUAAAUUUGCCGAGGGCACAGGACUGCAGGGUCUGCCCCCUGGGAACGUGGUUUUGACUGAGCAGGGGAGUUGGGGGGAGGGGGAGAUGCCGCCUCGUGCUGCCUCAUCCCAGCACUCAGCCAGAGGCUCCAGCCUGGUCCUCAGUCCAAAGCCUAGGUAUUUUA